UAGCCUACGGGGGGCAGCAGUGGGGAAUAUUGGGCAAUGGGCGCAAGCCUGACCCAGCAACGCCGCGUGAAGGAAGAAGGCUUUCGGGUUGUAAACUUCUUUUCUCAGGGACGAAGCAAGUGACGGUACCUGAGGAAUAAGCCACGGCUAACUACGUGCCAGCAGCCGCGGUAAUACGUAGGUGGCAAGCGUUAUCCGGAUUUACUGGGUGUAAAGGGCGUGUAGGCGGGAAAGCAAGUCAGAUGUGAAAACCACGGGCUCAACCUGUGGCCUUCAUUUGAAACUGUCUUUCUUUAGUACUGGAG
rnacentral:rRNA from 1 species